UCCGGUUUGUCACCGGCAGUCCCAUUAGAGUGCCCAACUUAAUGUGGCAACUAAUGGCAAGGGUUGCGCUCGUUGCGGGACUUAACCCAACAUCUCACGACACGAGCUGACGACAGCCAUGCAGCACCUGUGUUACGGUUCCCUUUCGGGCACACCUCCAUCUCUGCAGGAUCCGGACCAUGUCAAGGGUAGGUAAGGUUUUUCGCGUUGCAUCGAAUUAAUCCACAUCAUCCACCGCUUGUGCGGGUCCCCGUCAAUUCCUUUGAGUUUUAAUCUUGCGACCGUACUCCCCAGGCGGAGAGCUUAAUGCGUUAGCUGCGCCACCGACAAGUAAACUUGCCGACGGCUAGCUCUCAUAGUUUACGGCGUGGACUAC
rnacentral:misc_RNA from 1 species